rnacentral:rRNA from 1 species
GUGGGGAAUAUUGGACAAUGGGGGGAACCCUGAUCCAGCCAUGCCGCGUGUGUGAAGAAGGCCUUUUGGUUGUAAAGCACUUUAAGCGAGGAGGAGGCUACCGAGAUCAAUACUCUUGGAUAGUGGACGUUACUCGCAGAAUAAGCACCGGCUAACUCUGUGCCAGCAGCCGCGGUAAUACAGAGGGUGCAAGCGUUAAUCGGAUUUACUGGGCGUAAAGCGCGCGUAGGUGGCCAAUUAAGUCAAAUGUGAAAUCCCCGAGCUUAACUUGGGAAUUGCAUUCGAUACUGGUUGGCUAGAGUAUGGGAGAGGAUGGUAGAAUUCCAGGUGUAGCGGUGAAAUGCGUAGAGAUCUGGAGGAAUACCGAUGGCGAAGGCAGCCAUCUGGCCUAAUACUGACACUGAGGUGCGAAAGCAUGGGGAGCAAACAGGAUUAGAAACCCCUGUAGUCC